CAGCAGCCGCGGUAAUACGUAGGGUGCAAGCGUUAAUCGGAAUUACUGGGCGUAAAGCGUGCGCAGGCGGUUGUGUAAGACAGGUGUGAAAUCCCCGGGCUUAACCUGGGAACUGCGCUUGUGACUGCACAGCUAGAGUAUGGCAGAGGGGGGUGGAAUUCCACGUGUAGCAGUGAAAUGCGUAGAGAUGUGGAGGAACACCGAUGGCGAAGGCAGCCCCCUGGGCCUGCACUGACGCUCAUGCACGAAAGCGUGGGGAGCAAACAGGAUUAGAUACCCGAGUAGUCCCUGUCUCUUAUAC
rnacentral:rRNA from 1 species